rnacentral:lncRNA from 1 species
ACCUACACCACAGCUCACGGCAACGCCGGAUCGUUAACCCACUGAGCAAGGGCAGGGACCGAACCCGCAACCUCAUGGUUCCUAGUCGGAUUCGUUAACCACUGCGCCACGACGGGAACUCCUGACUAAAGUUUUCUAUAGAUCAAAAGGCAGGUGGAAGACCAGAGUGGGGGCCACUCUGGGAAGGCCUCGCAGGGUCCUGCUCGGUUACAAGAUGCAUAGUCAUCAUCUACUGGAUUUGCUCCACUUGAAUGCUACACAUAAUCCUUCUCUGGGAAUUUCUAGUCUCAUGAGUCCCAUUUCCCCAGAAAGGUGUUUCCCAGUCUCCUUUGUGGUCAGGCUCAGGCUGUGUGCCAUUUGUUCAGAGUGGCAAACUGCCAGCUGAAAAAAGGACUGUCGGAGUUCCCAUUGUGGCUCCGUGGAACCGAAUCUGACUAGCAUUCAGGAGUAUAGGUUCAAUGGGUUGCUCAGUGGGUUAAGGAUCUGGCAUUGCUGUGGCUGUGGUGUAGGCCAGUGGCUACAGCUCUGAUUUGACCCCUAGCCUGGGAACCUCCAUAUGCUGUGGGUGUGGUCUUAAAAAUAAAAAAAUUAAAAUUAAAAAAUUAAAAAAGCACUGUCCUCUUCAGUCUCCUUUGCAGGCAGAGGUGUCAGAUGACACACGGGCUUAGGAUUUCUUGGAUGUUUUGCUUUUCUGACAGUUUCCUCCUAUUUGCGCCCCCUUGUUCUGCUUCUCUGGAACAUAGUGGUGGUGCUGGAGUUGUACUAGCCUGUGGAUGACCAGGACGCACAGAGAGGAGGACGAUGAUGUGAAGAGACAGAGAGCCACAGGGAGAACACAGAGGCGGAAAUUAGAGACAUGCAGCAGCAAACCAAGGAACACAAGAACUGAUGGCCUCACCAGAAACCAAGAGAAAGUAGGAAGUUGUACCCAGAGUCUCAGAAGGAGUGUGGCCCUGCUGACACCAUGAUUUUGGACUUCUAGCCUCCAGAACUGUGAGCAAAUACAUUUCUGUUAUUUAAGAUGCUAAAUUUGUGGUACUUUGUUACAGCAGCCUCAGGGUACUUAUACCCACCCUAAUGCAUUCACUUUCUCCUCUGGGUCUCCAGACUCUGUUUUGAUGCAAGAGCCUCUUAACCGGUCCCUCAGCUUCCAGUGUUACUUCCUUUCCAUUCCUGCUCCAUGAAACAGCUUGAAUGAGCUUUCUUUGUAUUUUGUAUUAAUUUUUUAAAAAAUUUUGGCCACGCCCAUAGUAUUUAGAACUUCCUGGGCCAGGGAUUGAACCUGAGCCAUGGCAGUGACAAUGCUGAAUCCCUAACUGCUAGGCUGCUAGGGAACUCCUAUUUAUUCACUUCCCCGUGCUAUACAGUAGGACCUUGUUGUUUAUCCAUUCUAUAUAUAAUAACUUACAUCUAACCCCGACCUCCCACUCCAGCCCUCCGCCAGCCCCCUCCUUCUUGACAACCACAAGUCUGUUCUUCAUGUCCACAAAUCUGUGUCUAUAUGAAUGAGCUUGCUAAAGCUCAAAUUACUGUCCUGUUUACACACGUUUCAAUGGCUUCCUGAUAUUCUAAAGAUAAAUUCUGAACUCCUUACCUGAUAGCAAAAGGCCGUAUGUGCCUCUCCAGCAUCAAUUAGUCUCGCGCUUUGCAGCUACUUUCCGUGCCUGCAAUUCCACCAUUGUUCCUACCCUGUUUGACCUCUCGGCUUUCAUUCUCAUUAGAGGUCUUUUCUCCUAAGAAGCCAUCCUCGACUCUCCUGAUAGCGGUAUCACCCUUGCUGCAUGCUCUCUGAAAGUCUGGUUCUCUCUCCAUCAGAGCACAGAUCCCAUUUGUUACACUGCCUGCCUGGUUGUCUGUCUGCCUUCCUAUUCUGUAAGCUCCUGGGAGAGGGACUGUCUCCUCCAGCACGAUAGCAUCAGUGACCAACUGUGACUGCCCCAUUUCAGAUGCUCACUAUAGUGGAUUGAUGGGAACUGCUUUCCCCUGAGCUCCAGAUUUUGCAAGAUUUUAACUACUAAACAAUUUAUUACUUAAGUUAACCUUGUGGGGUUUAUCAGGGGUAUCCAUGCAUGAUUUUCUUUCCUUUCCUGCUUCCUCCCUCCCUCCCUCUCUCUCUUGCUUUCUUUCUGUCUUUCUUCCUGGCCACCCCGUGGCAUACGGAGUUCCCAAGACAGGGAUCAGAUCUGAGCUGCAGUUGUGAGCUGUGUUCCAGAGACACUGCCGAUCCUGUUACACGACGCUCCUUUUUUUAAAAAAAAUUUGAAAAUUGUUUUAAGAACUUCCAAGCUGUUUUCUUUUUGAGGAAUAACCCCGAGCCUAACAAUCCUGGUUUUCAAAUCUAGUCCAUCUCCUUCCAUUUCACAGAUAAGGAAACCGAGGCCCAGAGAGGGCAGAUGACUUGUCUAAGGUUGAAGUGGGUUGGUAAGGUCCCCAGGCUAAAACCCAACUUUUCUGAAUUCCAUCCAGGAUUUUCUCUGCUCUUUCACGAUAGCUAAGCCAGAUGUAUAUUGAUGUAAUGCUUAACAACCAGCUCUCUCGGGGGAGAAAAGAGCAUUGAUUUGUAACAUUUGUCAGUUUCUGUGAUAGGCAGGCUUUCACCUUGGCUAAUUUCAAGCUACCUAUGUGAAGUCACUGACCAUGAGCCUUGGUUCCAAUAGACUCCAAAUUUCAUGCGCUCUGCUUUCUUAAAUGUCUGUAGUGUUGGAGGCUCCAGCCCCAGCCCCCAAAAGUGGCUAUUGCCAGAACAUGCUAAAUUCUGGCAAUGAAAUGAUGUAAAAGGCUAUAAAUAAAAAUAAAAGAUCCCAAAGGAAUGACCUGCUGAAAAUAUGACAAGAUGGAAAAACUCAUAUGAAUAGAAAGUGCUGUUCAUUAUCAUGUGUUAGAACAAACAGCCAGUGAUAAUGUCAGCAAAGAUGAGUUAAUGAAACAGAAACACAAGUUCCAAAACAGUCCCACCUCCUCUCAGUACCUUUUUCUUUCUUUCUUUCCUUUUUUUUUUUGUCUUUUUAGACACCUGUGGCAUAUGGAAGUUCCCAGGCUGGGAGUCGAAUAGGAGCUGGAGCUGCCGGCCUACACCACAGCCACAGCAACACCGGAUCCAAGCUGUGUCUGCAACCUACACCACAGCUCACGGCAACAGAUUCUUAACCCACUGAGCGAGGCCAGGAAUCGAACCCAAAUCCUCAUGGAUACUAGUCGGGUUCAUUACCACUGAGCUGCAAUGGGAACUCCCUCGAUUCAAUUUUUAAGUCUUUUCUAAUUUAUCUCAGGCAGAAAUAAUUCCUCCUUCCUUAGUAGUUACCAUAUGUUUAUAUUCAGUUGCUUCCUUUAUUUUUAGAAUUGCCUACAGAAUGUAUCCAAAGUCACUAGCUUGGCAAAGAGGCCUUUUACCCAAUGAAUUUUCAGAAGAGGAGGGGUGGAAUAGCAGGAAGAACACAGGCUAUGUUCUAUGCUGGGUUCAGCUCCUAUCCCACUGGUGAAUGCUCUGAAGCCUCGGGUCAGUGUCCUGACCUCAGUUUCGUCAUUCUUAGACCCUUCCUUGUAAGGGUGACACAGGAUGGAGCAACAUGAGAUGUGUCAGGUAGCUAACACCUGGCACAUUUCCUGGAGGCAAGAAAUACCUGUUCUCUCCUUUUACAGGUUAAACAUUUCCUGUACCCAUUGUCUACACAUUUUUUUGAGAACUUGUUUUCCUCUGAAUGUAUUAGUUCAUUUCUCAGUUUCCCCAGAAAUAUUGAGAAGGAGAAAAAUGCUCUCCACAGAUCGAAUCUCUGAUUCCAUUGUCCUUAAUAUCUAGUGAUUUUCAGAGUUGUGGCUCAGCGGGUAAAGAACCCGACUAGUAUUCAUGAGGAUGCAGGUUCGAUCCCUGGCCUUGCUGUGAGCUGUGGUGUAGGUUGCAGGGGCAGCUCGGAUCUGCAUUGCUAUGGCUGAGGUGUAGGCUGGCAGCUGCAGCCCUGCUUCAGCCCCUAGCCUGGGAACUUCCGUAUGCCACAGGUGCAGCCCUAAAAAAAAAAAAAAAAAUUUCUGGUGAUUUUUGCAGAGCAAGGACACAGGUAAGUUCUUGGACUCAGGGGUCAGAGUGGCAAGGCAGAGAUCCAGGAAAGUUGUUCUUGUUUGUUUGUUUUUCUUUUGGUUGUGCCCAUGGCAUGUGGAAGUUCCUGGGCCAGGGAUCCAACCCACGCUACAGCAGCCACUCACACCACUGCAGUGACAGUGCUGGAUCCUUGACCUGCUGAGCCAUAAGAGAACUCUCAGGAAAGCUGUUCUUAAAUGUGGACCAAAGUGCAGAAGUGCAGUAAUGAGGGGCCUUCUCACUGUUAAGCUCACCAAAUGAAGGCUCUGUGUGUCUCACUAGUGCUCCCAGGAAGGGCUGGGCACCUAAUUCACAUCUUGAAGCCCACUCCUCCAACUCUCCCAUCAACCCUGUGGGGGUAGAAGUAUAGCCAUUUUGCCAACGACAAAACUGAUGUUCCGAGAAGCCCAUGCUCCGUAAUGUCUCUUGGGUACCUAGUAUGUGCCAGGCACUGUUCUAGACACUGGAGAGAAAGCAGGGACAGACAGACAAAAAUCCUUGCCCUUGUGGAACUGAUAUUAACAAGGCAACAACGAAUGAGAUGAGUAAGUAAAAUAUAUCAAGUCAGGUGGUGCUAAGUGCCAGGAGAAAAAUAAAGCAGAGCAGGAGUUUAGGGCAGAGGAAGCUGCAAUGUGAUGUAAGGUUACAGGGAAAGGUCUCAGGGAGAAGGUGACCUCGAGGCAAACAGGGGGAGGAGGGAAGGAGUGGGCUAAAUGGAUAACCAGUUCAGAAUCUUCCCCGAGGUUACUGGGACGUGUCACCAGGCACUGGAAUGGCUGUUUGUCAGGCUCUAGAGCCAGGGUUCUCAUUUUAUCAAGCCUCUUUUUGAAGAAGCAGCGUUCCUCCAAGCAGGGCAAGAGAGUGUGUGUGUGUGUGUGUGUGUGUGUGUGUGUGUGUGUGUGUACGCGCUCGUGUGGGGAUCUGUCUGUCUCUGAAUGUGUUAUAUUUCCCUGAGCCGUUCCUGAUUCUGUGUCUCUGCCCCCCCCCCCCCAACCCCCAACAGCUCCCAGGGCCUGAGGCCUCACAUUAUUGGUUUUCAUGGAAACUUGGCAACUUUCUCUCCUCCCCACCCUUUGCCCUGCACCGCAUUCCAAAGGCUUUAUUUGUGUGCCUUGGAGCCUGGCCAGGACUGGGCCCGGGACAGGUUGCCAUGGCGAGCUCCCACUCCUUCCAGAUAGAACUUCUCAAGGAUGUUGCCCUUGGGCCUGAAAUAGUUCAGGCCUGCUCUCAGCUGCAGCAGGAGGGAACUAAGUUAGGAAACCUCUUUCAAUCAGCCCAACUUGCACAAACACAAUCCGGGUGCGAAAGAUUUCUGGAGGGCGUGGAGGGCAUUCUCUGGGGCCCCCCAAAUUUGGGGUUGGGGAUGCUUUUCCUUGGGAUACUGGAAUAACUCCUUUCAGUUGUUGCAUUUGAGGUGUAAUAGAGCCUGCCUCUGAGAGCCCUGCAAACACAGACAGUUGUUGGGUUUUUUUGUUUGUUUGUUUUUUUUGGCUGCCCAGUGCACAUGGAGUUCUGAUCCCAAGCCAGGGAUCAGAUCCAAGUCACAUUUGUGACCUAAGCCACAGCUGUGGCAACGCUGGAUCCUUUAACCCAUUGGCACGCCAAGGGAUCGAACCUACCUCCUGGUGCUGCAGAGGCACUGCCAAUCCCGUUGCGCCACAGUGGGAACUCCCAGAAGUUUUUCAAAAGCUCAACUUGGGAGUUCUGGUCGUAGCUUAGCUGUAACGAACCUGACUAGUGGCCAUGAGGAUGUGGGCAGUGGGUUAAGGAUCCGGCGUUGCUGUGAGCUGUGGUGUAGGUCACAGAUGUGGCUUGGAUCUGGUGUUUCUGUGACUGUGGUAUACGCUGGAAGCUGCAGCUCAGCUUUGACUCCUGGUCUGGCAACUUCCAUAUGCCAUGGCUGCGGCCCU